rnacentral:rRNA from 1 species
UACGUAGGGUGCGAGCGUUGUCCGGAAUUACUGGGCGUAAAGAGCUCGUAGGUGGUUUGUCGCGUUGUUCGUGAAAACUCACAACUCAAUUGUGGGCGUGCGGGCGAUACGGGCAGACUGGAGUACUGCAGGGGAGACUGGAAUUCCUGGUGUAGCGGUGAAAUGCGCAGAUAUCAGGAGGAACACCGGUGGCGAAGGCGGGUCUCUGGGCCGAUAUUGACGCUGAGGAGCGAAAGCGUGGGGAGCGAACAGG